rnacentral:rRNA from 1 species
UGGCUCAGGAUGAACGCUGACAGAAUGCUUAACACAUGCAAGUCGAUGGGGAAGUGGUGCUUGCACCAUGGUAACCAUGGCGGACGGGUGAGUAACGCGUAAGGGACUUACCUGCGGGACUGGGAUAACAGCAGGAAACUGCUGAUAAUACCGGAUAAGGUCAUGGAGCUGCAUGGUUUCAUGAUGAAAGGAGACGCCUGCGGAGAGCCUUGCGUCCUAUUAGCUAGUUGGAGGGGUAACGGCCCACCAAGGCGAAGAUAGGUAGCCGGCCUGAGAGGGUGGACGGCCACAAGGGGACUGAGAUACGGCCCUUACUCCUACGGGAGGCAGCAGUGGGGAAUAUUGGACAAUGGGGGCAACCCUGAUCCAGCAAUUCUGUGUGCACGAAGACGGUUUUCGGAUUGUAAAGUGCUUUCAGCAGGGAAGAAGUAAGUGACGGUACCUGCAGAAGAAGCGACGGCUAAAUACGUGCCAGCAGCCGCGGUAAUACGUAUGUCGCGAGCGUUAUCCGGAAUUAUUGGGCAUAAAGGGCAUCUAGGCGGCCUAACAAGUCAGGGGUGAAAACCUGCGGCUCAACCGCAGGCUUGCCUUUGAAACUGUGAGGCUGGAGUACCGGAGAGGUGGACGGAACUGCACGAGUAGAGGUGAAAUUCGUAGAUAUGUGCAGGAAUGCCGAUGAUGAAGAUAGUUCACUGGACGGUAACUGACGCUGAAGUGCGAAAGCCGGGGGAGCAAACAGGAUUAGAUACCCU